rnacentral:rRNA from 1 species
AUUGAACGCUGGCGGCAGGCCUAACACAUGCAAGUCGAGCGGAUGAAGGGAGCUUGCUCCUGGAUUCAGCGGCGGACGGGUGAGUAAUGCCUAGGAAUCUGCCUGGUAGUGGGGGAUAACGUCCGGAAACGGGCGCUAAUACCGCAUACGUCCUGAGGGAGAAAGUGGGGGAUCUUCGGACCUCACGCUAUCAGAUGAGCCUAGGUCGGAUUAGCUAGUUGGUGGGGUAAAGGCCUACCAAGGCGACGAUCCGUAACUGGUCUGAGAGGAUGAUCAGUCACACUGGAAGUGAGACAAGGUCCGGAGUCCUAUGGGAGGCAGCAGUGGGGAAUAUUGGACAAUGGGCGAAAGCCUGAUACAGCCAUGCCGCGUGUGUGAAGAAGGUCUUCGGAUUGUAAAGCACUUUAAGUUGGGAGGAAGGGCAGUAAGUUAAUACCUUGCUGUUUUGACGUUACCAACAGAAUAAGCACCGGCUAACUUCGUG